rnacentral:tRNA from 1 species
GGGCCUGUAGCUCAGUUGGGAGAGCGUCCGCCCUGCAAGCGGAAUGUCGGGGGUUCAAAUCCUCUCAGGUCCA